rnacentral:tRNA from 1 species
GGAGAGAUGGCCGAGUGGUUGAAGGCGGCUGCCUGCUAAGCAGUUAAUCGGGAAUAGCCCCGGUUCGAGGGUUCGAAUCCCUCUCUCUCCGCCA